GACGAACGCUGGCGGCGUGCUUAACACAUGCAAGUCGAACGGUGAAGCGCCUUCCUUUUUGGUGGGUGUGGAUGAGUGGCGAACGGGUGAGUAACACGUGAGUAACCUGCCCCCUUCUUCUGGAUAACCGCAUGAAAGUGUGGCUAAUACGGGAUAUUCUGGGUCUGUCGCAUGAUGGGUCUGGGAAAGAUAUUGUUUCGGUUGGGGAUGGGCUCGCGGCCUAUCAGCUUGUUGGUGGGGUGAUGGCCUACCAAGGCGGUGACGGGUAGCCGGCCUGAGAGGGUGGACGGUCACACUGGGACUGAGACACGGCCCAGACUCCUACGGGAGGCAGCAGUGGGGAAUAUUGCACAAUGGGAGCAAGGCUGGUGCAGCGACGCCGCGUGAGGGAUGGAGGCCUUCGGGUUGUGAACCUCUUUCGCCAGUGAAGCAGGCCUGCCUCGUUUGUGGGUGGGUUGACGGUAGCUGGAUAAGAAGCGCCGGCUAACUACGUG
rnacentral:rRNA from 1 species